rnacentral:lncRNA from 1 species
UUUUUUUAUAUCAUAAAUUUAUUUGUGAUUAUUUUUUAGCUGAUGUACCGUUAAACUGAAGGUGGUAAUAAAGUUUACAAAAUUUGCUCUGGCUGAAUUUUUCAAUGAAAAAACAAUAUGUGUGCUAUGAAUGUAAUCUGUUUUUCAUGGAGUAUCAAUGAAAGUUUGGUGUAUUGGCCAAAUCACUUGCAAGCAUCUUGCCUUUAAACUGCCAUACGUAAAGUCACGCUUAUAAAAGUAACUGAAAGCAGCUGAAAAUAAGAAUUUUUUGAUGAACUUUCUUACUUCGGUUGGAGGAGAUGAGAAGCAACUUACAGCGGCAAUCUUAAUACAGCUAAUGGUCAAAGAAGUAUGUUUUUCAUACUCAGUGUAUGGAAUGAAACAAAAACGUCUUGCAAGGUCGUUAUAGAGUUCCGUUUAGUCGUUUAUCGUUGUAUUCGCUCAUUUCGAAAUCACUACUGACAAAAGUAUUAAAGAAAAAAUUGGUAGCUUUCUGGCGACGGCCAUUAAUAGAGAAUAUGGAAGAAAAAUAGAACCGUAACUGAGCAACGCCCAAUAUUGAGCAAUGAAAUAAGUAUCGCCAAUAUAAUGAAAGUCGAUGCCCACUAUCUCAUAGUGAGAGUAUAAUA